GUAGGUGGCAAUCGUUGUCCGGAAUUAUUGGGCGUAAAGCGCGCGCAGGCGGUUCGUUUAAGUCUGAUGUGAAAGCCCACGGGCUCAACCGUGGAGGGUCAUUGGAAACUGGAGAACUUGAGUACAGAAGAGGAAAGCGGAGUUCCACGUGUAGCGGUGAAAUGCGUAGAGAUGUGGAGGAACACCAGUGGCGAAGGCGGCUUUCUGGUCUGUAACUGACGCUGAGGCGCGAAAGCGUGGGGAGCAAACAGGAUUAGAUACCCUGGUAGUCCACGCCGUAAACGAUGAGUGCUAAGUGUUAGGGGGUUUCCGCCCCUUAGUGCUGCAGCUAACGCAUUAAGCACUCCGCCUGGGGAGUACGGCCGCAAGGCUG
rnacentral:rRNA from 1 species